AGCAUUGUGUAGCGGUAGCAUUGUAGCCAAUGAGGUUUAUCCAAGGUGCAGUUAUGGAUAAUUUAAAACUUUUCCAAUACUCCGCCAUGACGACUUGCAAUAUAAUCGGCAUUGGCCUUUUUGACAGUCUCUACGGAGA
ensembl:snRNA U4 U4 spliceosomal RNA